CAAUAGCGUAUAUUAAAGUUGUUGCAGUUAAAAAGCUCGUAGUUGGAUUUCUGGUAGGAGUGACCGUGCCAGACUUGAUUGUCUGUGUAUUGUGUUGUCUCCAGCCAUCCUUGUGGAGAACUUUUCUUGCAUUAAUUUGUAGGGAUUGGGACCCGCAUCGUUUACUGUGAAAAAAUUAGAGUGUUUAAAGCAGGCAAUCGCUUGAAUACAUUAGCAUGGAAUAAUACGAUAGGACUUUGGUACUAUUUUGUUGGUUUGCAUACCAAAUUAAUGAUCAACAGGAACAGUUUGAGGAUAUUCGUAUGAACAUGUCAGAGGUGAAAUUCUUGGAUUUAUGAAAGACGAACGACUGCGAAAGCAUUUACCAAGGAUGUUUUCAUUAA
rnacentral:rRNA from 1 species